rnacentral:rRNA from 1 species
UACGGAGGGGGCUAGCGUUGUUCGGAAUUACUGGGCGUAAAGCGCACGUAGGCGGCUUUGUAAGUUAGAGGUGAAAGCCCGGGGCUCAACUCCGGAAUUGCCUUUAAGACUGCAUCGCUAGAAUUGUGGAGAGGUAAGUGGAAUUCCGAGUGUAGAGGUGAAAUUCGUAGAUAUCGAGAGGAACACCGGUGGCGAAGGCGGCGAUCUGGACGAUGACUGACGCUGAGACGCGAAAGCGUGGGGAGCAAACAGG